CAGGGAGACAACAAAAUGUUUAAUAUUAUUAUUUUGUCACCUUAGGUCGAUCGGUAUCUCAGGUUCUUAAUUAAUUAAGAAUUUCAAUUCCUAAGUUUUUCUAGGUCACACCCAUUAUUUUUCCUGGGCCAUUAGCUCAGGUGGUUAGAGCGCACCCCUGAUAAGGGUGAGGUCCCUGGUUCAAGUCCAGGAUGGCCCAUAUCUCUAUGUUGGGGGUAUAGCUCAGUUGGUAGAGCGCCUGCUUUGCAAGCAGGAUGUCAGCGGUUCGAGUCCGCUUACCUCCACUGAUUACCACCUCUUCCAUAACCGGUAGAAAGGAAAUGUUUUGAGUCGUGAUCAUUAUUCUGAACGAAUCUAGCUUCCUAAUGAAAUCAUUAAGAUGCUGGACUCAUUGAAUUAAUUUCAUUGUUUUCAGAGAACCUUGACAACUGCAUAGAUUAUUUUUAAAGACAAUAAGCAUCUUUAAUGAUGCAGAUUUAUUAUUUGUGCGAAUGCAUUAAUAACAAUUCUAUUAAGCUGAUGCUUCAAUUUUUGAAGUUAUU
rnacentral:tRNA from 1 species